rnacentral:rRNA from 1 species
UGGAAGUAAAAAGUGGUAACAAGGUUUCACCUGCAGAAGGCUUUGCAGCCCGAAUCCAGGGUGCCGCCGCGACUCUAAACAAAUUGGUGGCUUGGUGCAAGUCGAAGCAUGGCUUUGGCAACACAACUAAAUUACCGGGGAACUUCAGGCUUUUGAGCUUGAAUGAUCCGUAGCACGACAGUGUUCACAGGCUAAAUAGUUGUGGGUUUGGCUUUCGACGCCAGGCUUAAGAUAUAGUCGGUCUCUAUGGUAAGUUAUAGAGAGGUAAUGUUCCGUAGGUCAAGUUUUGCCUACCACAGCAGUCGCGACUGCUAGUCUCCCCUGGAGGCGACACGCUCAAUGUGCGGGAAGGCCCUGUGUUUCAGGGACAUCCGCAACCAAUCGCCUAUCCGGCGGUCGGUUCAGAGGCUUAAUGAGUGUGGGUUUGGCCCCUGCGGCCAGGCUUAAGAUAAAGUCCGUACCUGUUGGCUACUUCAGGUAUCGAACGGAACCUGCGGAAGGAUCAUUA